GUCGUUUGAUCCUGGCUCAGGAUGAACGCUAGCGGCAGGCCUAACACAUGCAAGUCGAGGGGCAUCGGGAUUGAAGCUUGCUUCAAUUGCCGGCGACCGGCGCACGGGUGCGUAACGCGUAUGUAACCUACCUAUAACAGGGGUCAGUAACACUGAGAAAUUGGUACUAAUUCCCCAUAAUAUUCGGAGAGGCAUCUCUCCGGGUUG
rnacentral:rRNA from 1 species